CCCUUGGGGAGUUGUAAUUUGUAGGUUGUGACCUGAGCAAGCAACACAAGUCUCCUGGAACGGAGUGCCUUAGAGGGUGAGAGCCCCGUAAGUUGUAGCUCAUUGUAGGUUGCUUCCAGAGAGUCGAGUUGUUUGGGAAUGCAGCUCUAAGUGGGUGGUAAAUUCCAUCUAAAGCUAAAUAUUGGCGAGAGACCGAUAGCGAACAAGUACAGUGAUGGAAAGAUGAAAAGAACUUUGAAAAGAGAGUGAAAAAGUACGUGAAAUUGUUAAAAGGGAAGGGUACUAACUGAGACUUGGGGGUUAUGUUCAGCUACCGUUUGCGGUAGUGUAUUCAUUUCUUCUAGGCCAGGGAGAGGUAUUGGGGUAAGAAAAAGAGGUAGGAAAGUGGCUCCUCGGAGUGUUAUAGCCUACUUUAAUAUUGCCACUGGUGCCUCAGGACUGCGCUUCGGCAAGGUCUCUGGCGUAAUCAUUUAGUACCGCCCGUCUUGAAACACGGACCAAGGAGUCUAACGUCUAUGCGAGUGUUUGGGUGUAAAACCCGUACGCGUAAUGAAAGUGAAGUAAAUAGGAGCCUCGGCGCACUAUUGACCGAUCCUGAUGUUUUCAGAUGGAUUUGAGUAAGAGCAUAGCUGUUGGGACCCGAAAGAUGGUGAACUAUGCCUGAAUAGGGUGAAGCCAGAGGAAACUCUGGUGGAGGCUCGUAGCGGUUCUGACGUGCAAAUCGAUCGUCAAAUUUGGGUAUAGGGGCGAAAGACUA
rnacentral:rRNA from 1 species